CUGGCAGAGUGAAAGAGAGGAAAGGCAUGUGGAUUUAAGGAGGGUGUUUAGAUCAAGAACUUAAGAGAGGCUGGGAAGUGUCAUAGGAUUAAGGGAUCUAUGCAAGCUUGUAUGGGUAUUUCCACUUGUGCUGUCCUCACACCUUCUCUGAGAGAUUUUUGUCCCAAACACAAGGACUGCAUGUAUGUUGCAAGAUACAUUGCAGCGCACCACAUAGCCUUGGCUUUUGGCUGUGCCUCUACUAGUGGGGACGUGCCAGCUUGCACCAUGUGAGCACGUGCCCUGCUUUCCUCGAGAAGGAGACCUGGGUGCAGAGGGGCAGAGAAGGAGCUAAGGUGUGAUAUCUACCUUCAGGGUCACUCUGGGACACUCUGAAGUAUUACGGCCAUGGAGACUGUUUCCUCCUACAGAGUUCAACAAUGUAUUCUUCAGAAAACUACUGCAGGAUGGGAAAGCAGCCCUUGAAGAACAGGAGAGCAUCUCUGCGCUCUGGUUACAGAAGCUAUUUCUGAAGAGAAAGGACUUAGGGAGUAGCCUGGCCCAAACAGAAAAUUGUUUCCUGAUCUGUGUGAGACAUCUAAGCCGAGCUUUCUUACUCAAGGAAGAGAAGCUGGAAGAAAGGCUCCGGAUACUACAAGGGUAUAAUUUGCUGUGUCAUCGUUGCAUGCCAAAAAUCUGAAAAGCAGAAUGUGCAAGUGAUUCAGAGGAUAUAUGGAACACAAACCGCCUCUUCAGAAGGCAAAAAUCUCUGCUGAAGAACAGCAACGUUCCCAUGUAUAUGACUGAUAAACAUGAUGAGGAGAAGAACUGGUGACCCUGAGUAUUCCAUUUAGGAUGUCCUUAUUUGCUGGCGAUCUUGUGGUCAUUUUCCACAGCCACCAUCUGGGAUCUUACAAAAAGGUCCAAGCACACUGCCAAGAAGCUGCCUUGAUUCACCGUAUCAUGUUUCUACACAAAGAACAACAUCCUUCCUGGAAUGCUUCCCCUAAGGGAGGACAGCAAGGAAAAAUCUGGGAAAUUACCGUAAGGAUGACACUGGAGCUGGAGGUGGCUGGAAGAAUCACCACAUUUAUGCUCCCUUCCCCUCUCAGUUGAGUUGGAGAGCACAUAAAGAAACCCUGGCCUGCACUCCCUAUCAAGCUUGCAGCGUAUGAUAUGUUGCUGUGGGAGUGUAACUGAUGCGCCUCAUUAGAGUUUGAGAUUGUAUACUACUGCUCUGGGACUGAAACUACACUCAUAUCCAGUAAGAGAAUGGAAUGAAGCAUCUGCUUUUGAACUCUAGGAAACAGCAAAAAAGAGACUGACAGAAACCUGUGGUCACUGAGUGUAACGCACCUUGCUCUUCAAAGCCCCCUCCUUUUCUCACAUGCUAUCUACCAACAUAAAUAAUGCUGGCUUGUGUCACUUCUGGAAAUAACAAGGUUGGCCAUUGGUGGUUCAUGAAAAGAAGCAAGAACAGUAUGUUUUCAUGGUAAGAAGUGGAACAAGAUUGUCAUCGUGCUUAAGACAAGAGUCUGGAGGGAAAACUAGCCUUGCUCUUCCUGAUUCCAUCAGGAGGUUUGUAUCUGAGAUUGCAGGAUCUAUGAGUUCAAAACAUUAAAAGGAGAUAUGAAUCAAGCAUGCCAGAAAAGUUCAGUGAAAGUAAUAUGAACCCAAAACAAUGACUUUUUUCCCCCCACAGCUCUGUUUGCAGUAUGCAAUUAUCAUGAGCUUGUUGGCAGUCCUGUAAUAAUUAGGCACAGCAGCAUGAGUGAAGAAUGUAUCAAUCUUAGCUUACAGUUUCUUUGGUUUUGUUGGUUUAUGCUAACCUCAUCAUACUUAAAUAGUAGUAUGCAUCUUUAUGAAAAAUGUGCAAAAUGAAAAAAAAAUCAAUAUAAGCUAUAGUGGAUCCCUCAAUUUCUAGUAUAAACAUACAAUUUGCAUUGUAGAAGCCAAAGAUUCAUAGAACCAGAAUUUUACCCUAUAAGCUAUGAUUUGCUAACAUAGAUGAGCAGAUAUAUCUGCAUUAGAGAUCAUUGGUUUCAAAAUAAUUUUAAACAAUAAAUCUGAAACCCAGACUUGUAAAAUGCUACAUUUGCAGUGACUGUCUUUGUGGGUACAGUUCACAUAAUGAGGACAGACUUGAAGUACCUAAAGGAUGUGAAAAUCCAGUUCUUACUCAAGGUACCUUUACAAAUCUCAGCCUGUUUAUUCAAUGUAUUUACCUCUGUGCACUUGUCCCUGUGACACAGAUGUAUCAGGGAAACGCACUUCUGUCCUGAAUGGCAAUACUUUUGCAAUUAAGAGAUUUCCUGGAGUUUUCUUUUGGGAUUCAUGUGGGGGCAGAUGGAGCCAUGCUCUGGUCUUCUGAAGACCUUGAAGGGCAGAGCCCUGUUUGUCUCCGUCUCUUCCCAAAUUCUGGGCAGCUGGAGCUGAUGCCAUCCCAGCACUCCUGCCUGGGCAGAAGCAAAGUCUUCCUUAGCAAUACUUGUUCUUGAGCCAAAUCCACAGUCUUCCUAUCAGCCAUGCAUGCUGGCUGGCCCCAAGACAACAAACAGCAACUGAUCCUCUACUCUUCUUGGGGGCUGAAAGUCUGAAUUUGUUUUAUCUUCCAAAUUUUUAAAAACAGGAGUGGAGGUAAUAUCCUAACCAAACAGAGCCUUUGGGGCAGUUGCAAUUCCUACUUUGGUUCUGAAUCAGUCCAAUCCCAGAGACAGGCUGAAUGUAGUCUGUCCACAUUAUCAGCAUAUAUGUGGAAAGUGAGGGACCGUACAAGUGAGUAUUACAGCACUAUGUCAGUAUUGUCCCUUUUUUCUUCCACUUUACUGUGCAGUGGUACCAGAAAGGUGUAUUGAUUAUUUGCCAAAAGGCUAUGGAUUAAAUAAACAAACAACCUCCCUGUCUUCACCUGCCUGAGACUCUCCAAACUGCUUAUCUGCAUGCCAUAUAACAAAGCCAAAAGGCAGGAAACCUUCCUGCCCUCACACUGUUGGCAUGAUACAGCCAAUAUCCCUAGUCUCUAGUACCCCUGAGAAUGAAAAUUAUGAGGUUUAGCUGAGACUCCUGAAAACAACCUUGAACAUGGCUUCUGAGCACCUCAAGAGUUUUUAUAUGCAUACGGAUGUGUACAUAUGUAUGCAUAUAUAAAUAUAUAUAUUUAAAAAAAAGUUAACACACCCAUUCAACUUCCAUUCCUGGCUAGUGGAGUAUUUCCAUUGGGUUUAAGGGAGAGUAGAAUCAAGCCUCAGUUCAGCAAAGUGCUUCACUCUGAGGUUUGAAGAAGUUACUUGUCCCAGAAACUUCAAUUAGGCAUGUCAGCAAAUCCUUUGCUGACUAAGGACUUCCACAGCUCAGCUGUUGUAGAGGGCAGCAUCCAAGCUGGAUGCUAUAGGAUGUUGACCUCUCUCGAGAACCCCAUGCAGCAGCCAACCAUCUGCAAAACAUGCAGAGUAAUCAUAAUAAUUCCCUUGGCAGCCUAUUUCAGGGAGGAAAGGGAAAAGAAAGAGUAGAAAAAAGAAGGAAAUUCAUUUUAGUUUGCAUUGAAAUACUCUCACAAUAAUUGCCUUCACAUUUUUGAGUUUGGGGCUACAUAUUAAAACAUUUCUACUCUCAACAUGGAAUGUUAUAACAAGGUUUUCAGAGCUAAUGAAUGGUACAAGAGGAAAAAGAAAACCCAUCGUACUAGUUUUGUAUUCUUCCCCAUUGACAAAUGUAAAUCUUGACCCUUAAGAGGAAGCAUGUUUUAGGGAUAGUUAGCACUAUAUACCAGUUCCACUCACUUGACACAUAUAAUUUUCAUGUCUUAUUGUAGGGAUUGCCAACUUCCCUGACCCCAUGAGCAAUUUACUGAAAUCUUUGUAUGCCUACAAGCCUAUUGUCCCAGAACCUGUAUGAAUCCCCUCUUUAGGAAAGGUGUACAAUAUUAGGAUCAUGUCUUCCUUCAAGUUAUCUUUAAUAAAACUUUUGUUUGUUUGUUUCU